UGUGAGCACUAGCAAAGUGUUUAACGAACUCUUCAGUUGAAAAAUCACAAACUAUAAUUUCCUUGUCAACUACAAAUUUUACAGCGACUGUGUCAUGUCAAGUACAAAUUUUACAACAUACGAAUUAUGUCACCGACGGUACGUGUACUUUAAAACUCGCUUCCCUUUCUGCAUUUCCGGUCAAUCAAUUAUUGGAUAUUGUGCUCUAACUGUAUUAUGUAUGCACUUGGUGUGUCCUUUGAGCACUAACAAAUUGUGUUAAACGAACUCUAAAAUUGAAAAUUCACACACAAUAAUUUUCUUGUCAACUGCUAAUUUUAUACAGUUUAUGUCAUGUCAAGUACAAAUUUAACAACUACUGUAACAGAC
rnacentral:lncRNA from 1 species